rnacentral:lncRNA from 1 species
AUUCCAAGCACGAGGAACAGAAUGGGAGACAAGGUCUGUUGCUCAGCCUGGACUCAAACUAUGUUGCUCAGCCUGGUCUGGAACUCCUGGGCUCAAGCGAUCCUCCCACGUCACCAUCCCAAAGUGCUGGGAUUAUAGGGAUCAGCCUGAAUCUCUUCCUUCAGUGGCUGAUAAUUGACCAGGCUGGAAACACUAACUAGAGAUACUGGUAAGAAUUACUUCGGUUUAGUGUGGGAAGUUAAAAAAUAUUAUUUCACAGACUCCCCCAAAGCCAGUGGCUGCACUCUUACCUUCUACAUGAAAUACAUCCCCACCUGAACAAAGGCACACGACAGGAGGAGGGGAAUAGGACUUCGCAAACUGGACACGGCAUCGUUCAGAUCUGGACUCUGCUAAAAUACCGACAUCCCCACACAGUAGGCUGGUGUCAUUCCUCCUACCACUUCUCUGUCCCCCUCCAGAAAGACUGCCACCUCUUUACAACAA